rnacentral:lncRNA from 1 species
CAAAAGCUCAUGGUAAGAAGAAAAGUAUCAUAAAUUUCACCCCUGUGGAGACCAAUUAUCUUGCUAUGAAUGGUGGCUUGUCUGUAGACUGUCCCCUAUCCCCAGGAUGCCAUCUUACAUAUGUGCCAUGGCGUACAAGGUAGGAGGGGGUAAGUAAUUUCAACUAGGCUCUGCUUGAUCAAUACUAACCUAUCACCCUUACUGAAAAAAUAAUUCUGAGGAAAUGUCACGUAACGGUAGGUGGUUAGAAUCACCUCCUGGCUCUGUUUGCUGACCUGUCAUCAUCUACUGCACAAAUGACUACUUUUUUUUGUCUUAGGAUUUUUGUCUCCUUGCUCUUUCUUUAUCCUAAGGGAAUCAGGUGAUGAAAGGGGUCAGAUUAUGACACACUGUUACCAUGGAGACCAGAAGCUACUCAGCUCCUGCGUGGGUUGAUUUUCCCCCUUUCUAACCAGCUGUUAUUCCAUCAGAGUAAAAGAUUUUUACCAGUUGCAAGAUAGCUGGAGGUUGCUCACUAUCUGGGCUCCAUGAAGGAAAGAUGUGGGGAGAAGAGACCUUGAUCCUAACACUUGGAACUGCCAGCAAUCACUCACUUAUACAUCUCUUGCUGUUUGUGAAAGAUGAAGAAAAUGCCUUUCUGGGAUACAUUUCGGCAAUCUUCUGAAGAAAUAAAAACUAGGUGACAUAAUGAUCAAAACAAGGGUAGGUAGUUUAAAAUUUAAAGUCACAGAUGAAUUUGUUACAGAUCGUUAGAAUGGCAAAAUCAUUUAAUAAAUAAUGUAGUUACUCAACAUGGACUAGAUAUGAUUUAUGUCAUUUUAGCAGUAGAAAACAAGUAUGAAUUUUACUUACAUUAGUUUAACAUUCUUUUAUCUUUUCUUCCUCUCCUGACCCCCACUUUCUUUUUCUUCUUCAAUUUCCUUCAGGCUUUUCAUUUACCUGCUAGUGAUACUCUUCCUGCUUUAAAGUCAGGGAAGGUGGGAUUUCUCAUGUCAACUCCAGACAGUAUCUUGCCAUUUCUCCUUUUGUAAAGAAUAGAGAAGGUGACUUACUUCCUCAUAUCUAAUUUAAGAUGUUGAUUUUGCAAAGAAACUCGACAGCAGUAAUUUCUGUUUCUUACACUGAGUUUCAGAGGUUGGUUGCAUAUCUAUUUUUGUUAGUUUGUAAAGGGAGGUAAGUCUCUGAACAGAUUGGGAAUUAGAGAUUCUAUAGGCUUUAAAAAAGAAAAACUCUCUCAUUUUUGCUAAUGGAGUUAGUAGCUGAUUUUAAAACUUAAAAUGAGCCUCAUAUUUCUGUUCCUUUGG